AGGUCAAGUAAAUUGUGUUAUUGUCUUAUUUGGAGAAACAGUGAAAUUGGAGUAUGACUCUCACCAUCUGGAUCUUUCCAGUAUUUGAAUCUUCUCCCUUGGUUGGGUGGGUCAUCAUUUCCUGUGGCUCCACUCAACAGAUAUAAAGUAAGCAUUCUUUUUUUAAAAAUUUAUUUAUUAUAUAUAAGUACACUGUAGCUGACUUCAGACACAACAGAAGAGGGUGUCAGAUCUCAUUACAGAUGGUUGGGCGCCACCAUAUGGUUGGUGGGAUUUGAACUCAGGACUUCUGGAAGAGCAGACAGUGCUCUUAACCACUGAACCAUCUCUCCAACCCUAAAGUAAGCAUUCUUUAUUCUCCCCGCCCCCCCCCUUCCCUUCUCCCUCUUUAUCCGGCCCCACUCAUUCCGGGCCAAAGGUUGUUUAUUUCUCAUUACAGGUGGUUGCUGGAAUUUGAACUCAUGACCUCCAGAAGAGCAGUCGGACCACUGAGCCAUCUCAUCAGCCCUAAAGGCUGCAGAGGGUGUCUUCACCCAGAAGGAGUAAGAGUACCUCAUCAGAGAGGGAGGAAAGACGCUGGUAUGAAUGACUUGGUGAUUGGGAUGCAGGUGCCAGGAUGGAGGCAGGCGCUCCAGACUGCCUGUCAUUUACCACUGUCGCAUCUCCCUGAUCUUCUGCUCUCUGGGUACAAGUCCCUUUGGCCUGCACUUGAGAGGGAUUUUUGUUUGUUUGUUUGUUUUUGUUUGGUUUGGUUUGUUUUAGGAAGGUUGAAAAAGAAAGGCAGGGCUGGGCAUGGUGACACACACCUUUAAUCUCAGCAGUGGCUGCUUGCACUCGGUUUAGGGUCUCCUUUAUAUAUUGUCCAGCAUCCCAGCAUUGGGAAUGAUACCACCCACAAUGGGCGAGUCUUCCCACCCCAGUUAAGUUAGGAUAACCCUUCAUAGGCGUGCUCCAGGAGACCUCUAACUGAUCCCACGUCUCAUCAUUUUGACCACUGAGAUCACCCAUCACAUUGUUCAGCUUCAACAUCCUACAAACUGAGGUAUUCAAUCUGUCUGGAGACCAGUCAUGGAUUGGAGGAGGAGACGGGAGAACAACUAGAAAAGCCAAACCAUAGGCAACAUGACCAAACUUGGAACAAACACAAUCUUCACUAGACAUGCCUGGAAUAACACACACCUCCUCAUAAUUACAUAAGGUAGCAACCCAUCCCAUAAAAAUGCAGACAGUGACUGCUUUGUGUCUGACACUGAUGGAGAGGUGAAGAGUGGGCACAUUGUUGUCGGACACAGUCUACAGGAACUCACCGAGAAGCUGGGUCUAGACGUAGGCUUGCCCCCGUACCCCGCAUUUCAGAAUCAACUACAUGUGUCUCAAAAUGUCCUUCUUGAUCCCUAGUCUUGGGAUGGGUUGCCUCCCAACUCUGUGACAGGGAAGGAAGAGAACAUCAGAACAGCCCGAGAGCGACAACUCUGUCCUUGAAAAGAGCUGGAAGGCAAGACUCUUCCAACAGAGGUACUAUUGUGUCUCCCAUGAUCUAAAAGAAAAUCUCCCAAUGGGAAGGAGAGGCUGGGAGUUCAGUCCUGAGAAGCUCGGCUACACAGAGAAAGCUCAAACCACAACUCCGACUACCUCAGCUUUCCAGGCGUGUUCUGCUAGAUUCUGUGAGCGGACUUGAUGAUGUAUUAUUGGGGGGGGGGGUUGCUAUUUGUUCUUGGGAGGCUCACCCAAGGGGACUCAGCUCUGCCUGGGUCUCUCUCUAUUGGGAACUCCCCCAGGCUGCUUUAACUGGCUUCCCCAUGAUUUCUGCCCACUAUUUUGAAUAUCUGUUUGUUGGUUUGUUUUAUUCUUAAUGAACUCACUCAUUUAAAGC
ensembl:antisense 2700068H02Rik RIKEN cDNA 2700068H02 gene